UACGGGGGGGGCAAGCGUUGUUCGGAAUUAUUGGGCGUAAAGGGCGCGUAGGCGGCCAUGCGUGUCUUCCGUGAAAUCCCUCGGCUUAACUGAGGACGUGCGGAAGAAACUGCAAGGCUCGAGUCCGGGAGAGGGGGGUGGAAUUCCCAGUGUAGCGGUGAAAUGCGUAGAUAUUGGGAGGAACACCGGUGGCGAAGGCUGCCCCCUGGACCGGUACUGACGCUGAGGCGCGAAAGCGUGGGUAGCAAACGGG
rnacentral:rRNA from 1 species